rnacentral:rRNA from 1 species
AAUAGAUACCCGGGUAGUCCAUGCCGUAAACGUUGGGAACUAGGUGUGGGUCUCAUUCCACGAGAUCCGUGCCGCAGCUAACGCAUUAAGUUCCCCGCCUGGGGAGUACGGCCGCAAGGCUAAAACUCAAAGGAAUUGACGGGGGCCCGCACAAGCGGCGGAGCAUGCGGAUUAAUUCGAUGCAACGCGAAGAACCUUACCAAGGCUUGACAUACACCGGAAACAUUCAGAGAUGGGUGCCCCGCAAGGUCGGUGUACAGGUGGUGCAUGGUUGUCGUCAGCUCGUGUCGUGAGAUGUUGGGUUAAGUCCCGCAACGAGCGCAACCCUCGUUCUAUGUUGCCAGCACGUGAUGGUGGGGACUCAUAGGAGACUGCCGGGGUCAACUCGGAGGAAGGUGGGGAUGACGUCAAAUCAUCAUGCCCCUUAUGUCUUGGGCUUCACGCAUGCUACAAUGGCCGGUACAAAGGGCUGCGAAACCGUGAGGUGGAGCGAAUCCCAAAAAACCGGUCUCAGUUCGGAUUGGGGUCUGCAACUCGACCCC